rnacentral:lncRNA from 1 species
AUGUAUCCAAGCUUCUCAAAUGCUUCAUUACCAACGGAAAAGGAUAUAAAUACUCCACUGUGCAUUAUAAAGCUGUUAGAUGACAGAGAGAAAAAGAAACAGCCUGACAGUGAAUCGCCAUACAAGGAUCGGAAACAGGCUCAGGUUGAUCUGAGUCAUACCACACACACACACACACACACGCACACACUCUCUCUCUCUCUCUCUCACAGUAGUGCACAAAGGCAAGUCUUCAAGACGUGUCUGUCAAUAAAUAAGGCUAUUCACAAAAUUCAAGUCUCUUAAAACAGGGCCUAACAUCACCUCUACGCAAACAAAAAUAUACUACAUUGGUAUUUCGGAGCUUAUUUAUAAACGGCUCCAACAGUCAAAACUAUACGACAUCAAUAUGCAUAAUAAGGCAUUGUCUGUCAGCUGACGAUCAGGAAAAAAAGAGAUCACAAAACUUCAACGUCUUCUACAUCACAUACCACAGGCAGCACUCAGAUUCUGUCGAUCGUCAUGGUGAGCAGAAGACACCAUUGAUAUGUACAUUAUGAUUAAAGAGUGAAAUUCCUUCAGAAUGGAGACCUGAGAACAUACACAGAAGAUGCUGCUCUGAAAUGUGGGUCAUAUUAGAAUAACUAGUGAAAAUGACUAGAUGCAUUACAAACGUGUGUUGCUAAGCAUGCAGAGUCAGUACCUACGGGAAGUAUCAGGUGUGUAUGAGUACUACGGCUCGAUGUCAUCAUCUUCCUCCUGGGGCGUGGCUUCUCUGCGUGGGAGGGGCACUGCAUCAGUUCCCAGAAGCCCCCUACGCAGGACGUAUGGACACGCCGGCCCGCUGGGAAUAUCAGCAAAUCCUUCAGGAGAUAAAAACACCAUUAAAGGAAUAGUUCUCGCAUAAAAGAAAAUUAGCUGGAAAUUGACUCGCCCUCAGGCCAUCCAUGAUGUACAGGAGUUAACAGAUUUGAUUUUGGAGAAAUUUAACAUUACAUCACUUCAUCAGCUGUGGAUCAUCUGCAGUGAAUGGGUGCCGUCAGAAUGAGAGUCCAAACAGCUGAAAAAAGUAAUCCACAUGACUCUAGUAAAAAGUAAAAAUCUGCGUUUAUAAGAAAUAAAUCCAACAUUAAGGUAUAUUUAACUUCAAACUGUUGUUUCCAGCUAAAUUUACAAACUCAUCUUGGAUGGCCAGAAGGGGAGUAAAUUUAUAGCAAGUUUUAAUUUUGAAGAAUGUUUGGUUUUUAAUAUAUUGUCUAACCUUUCAUGACAACCUCUGGCAGGCCAUACGGUUCAUAUUCGGUCUCGUCGUAAGCGGCAGACAUGCGGUUGCGGUUUUGCCAGAUGCGUUCAGCGAGGUGAGCCGGGUUAUUCAUGGGGAAUGCGCUGGAUAACAGCAGUUGGUUUGUAACAGACUGUGGGGUCGGAGAGAGGGGCGGCGAGUCUGCAGGGUGUUUAUGGCCUUUAUCUUCUACCAUCUCCAGCUGUUCUCCAUCUGUUUGGGUGCAGGUGUGGACGGGUGGCUGUUUGUCCCCCAAAAUUAGCUCUCGGCUCUCCUCUGUCUGAGUGGAUACACUCUUCACCUCUGUUCUGAGCUUGCUGACCUCUACCAAUUUACACAGAGUAGAUUCAUUCUUGAUUGGCUUUUCCGCAUGUUUGUUCUGUUUAACUGUUGUUUCUCCAUGACAAUGUCUGAGUUUAUCCGAAUCAACAGUUUCCAUGGUUUCAAGCUCAUUAUGCCCAGGGCAUAACACACCAGGAUUCUGGGAGUCUGCAGUCCCAUAGGACUCUGUGAUUGGAUUUAAGUUGAUUACCUCGGUCUGAUAUUUGGUUGAGGUGGAAACACUGAUUAAGGCAUCUUCCUGGCUGUUCGCACUAGCACCUGCUGCUUUGGUCUGAUCCUCAGGAGACACUGAGGCAACCGUCUGAGAAUCUGAAUUACUGUAAUCUGCUGGUUUGGUCUGUGGAGGUGACGGCUUGACUUUAGGGUUACUACUCAUUAUAUCUGAGACACAGACAGGAGGACUUUUGUUGUUAACAGAGCUGCUUUCACAUUUGUGUUGAGCAUGUUCUUUGAUCAGUACAUUCUCAUUUCCAGUCAUAAGAUCCUGAAAACAAUAAAAUGAAUAGGUCUGUGAUCAUAUUAAUGGCAUUUUAUUGCAGACAAAAAGAAAGAUCUGUCAUUUACCAAAUUUCAAAUGCGUAUGACUAUAUUAGUCCUGCAUAAUGUGGGGGGCGGAGUUAAUUUCAUUUCAUAAUAUUGUGACAUCAAUACUAAUAUUUAUGGCUUAAUUUCUUAAUUUGCACGUUAAACCAUCAAUCAUAUAUUUUGUUUGUCUGAAAACCACAGAGAGCUCUUAUGGAUUUAGUUUGCCCUAGACUAUAUCUUUAUUCAGUCUAUAUUUACAAGAGAUCAGCAGAACGUUCAUGCAGUCAUUUUCUAUACAAUAAAAAUGAAUGAGGAGUUAAUGCACUUUUGUUGUCACUUUCCCCAAUCACACUCAUUGAAUAAAAA